GCUGGGCACAGUGGCGCACACCUGUAAUCCCAACAGCUCAGGAGGCUGAGGCAGGAGGAUCACAAGUUCAAAACCAGCCUCAGCAACUUAGCAAGGCCUUAAGCAACUCAGUGAGGCCCUAAGCAACUCAGUGAGACCCUGUCUCUA
rnacentral:sRNA from 1 species